CCUGUUUAUCAAAAACAUAGCCUUUGGAGAGGAUUAAAGGUUAUACCUGCCCAAUGUUAUAUUAAUGGCCGCGGUACUUUGACCGUGCUAAGGUAGCACAAUCAAUUGGCCCUUAAUUAGGGUCAGGUAUGAAUGGAGUUACGGGGCUUAGCUGUCUCUAAACUAUUUAAUUGAAGUUGCUGUAUAGGUGAAAAAGCCUAUAUUAAGAAAAAAGACGAGAAGACCCUUAGAGUUUUACUUAGGAAAGAAUUAUUUCUUCACUAGUUUUGUUGGGGCAACAUAGGAGAAAAUUAAACCUCCUAAAGGAUAUAAACCGAUGAUUUUAAAUAUGAACAAACUACCUUAGGGAUAACAGCAUAAUUUUAAAAGUAAGUUUGUGACCUCGAUGUUGGNCUGGGAAGCUUAAGGGCUAGCCGCCUUUUGGUAAGGUUCUGUUCGAACUAUAAUUCCUACGUGAUCUGAGUUCAGACCGG
rnacentral:rRNA from 1 species